rnacentral:rRNA from 2 species
UAGGGAAUCUUCGGCAAUGGACGAAAGUCUGACCGAGCAACGCCGCGUGAGUGAAGAAGGUUUUCGGAUCGUAAAACUCUGUUGUUAGAGAAGAACAAGGACGUUAGUAACUGAACGUCCCCUGACGGUAUCUAACCAGAAAGCCACGGCUAACUACGUGCCAGCAGCCGCGGUAAUACGUAGGUGGCAAGCGUUGUCCGGAUUUAUUGGGCGUAAAGCGAGCGCAGGCGGUUUCUUAAGUCUGAUGUGAAAGCCCCCGGCUCAACCGGGGAGGGUCAUUGGAAACUGGGAGACUUGAGUGCAGAAGAGGAGAGUGGAAUUCCAUGUGUAGCGGUGAAAUGCGUAGAUAUAUGGAGGAACACCAGUGGCGAAGGCGGCUCUCUGGUCUGUAACUGACGCUAAGGCUCGAAAGCGUGGGGAGCAAACAGG